rnacentral:rRNA from 1 species
UGGGGAAUUUUGGACAAUGGGGGCAACCCUGAUCCAGCAAUGCCGCGUGAGUGAAGAAGGCCUUCGGGUUGUAAAGCUCUUUUGUCAGGGAAGAAACGGUAGUAGCGAAUAACUAUUACUAAUGACGGUACCUGAAGAAUAAGCACCGGCUAACUACGUGCCAGCAGCCGCGGUAAUACGUAGGGUGCAAGCGUUAAUCGGAAUUACUGGGCGCAAAGCGUGCGCAGGCGGUUGUGUAAGUCAGAUGUGAAAUCCCCGGGCUCAACCUGGGAAUUGCAUUUGAGACUGCACGGCUAGAGUGUGUCAGAGGGGGGUAGAAUUCCACGUGUAGCAGUGAAAUGCGUAGAUAUGUGGAGGAAUACCGAUGGCGAAGGCAGCCCCCUGGGAUAACACUGACGCUCAUGCACGAAAGCGUGGGGAGCAAACAGGAUUAGAUACCCACGUAGUCCCUGAGCGGGCUGGCAAGGCGCAU